CCUACGGGAGGCAGCAGUGGGGAAUUUUGGACAAUGGGCGCAAGCCUGAUCCAGCCAUGCCGCGUGCGGGAAGAAGGCCUUCGGGUUGUAAACCGCUUUUGUCAGGGAAGAAAUCCUUUGGGUUAAUACCUCGGAGGGAUGACGGUACCUGAAGAAUAAGCACCGGCUAACUACGUGCCAGCAGCCGCGGUAAUACGUAGGGUGCGAGCGUUAAUCGGAAUUACUGGGCGUAAAGCGUGCGCAGGCGGUUAUGCAAGACAGAUGUGAAAUCCCCGGGCUCAACCUGGGAACUGCAUUUGUGACUGCAUAGCUAGAGUACGGUAGAGGGGGAUGGAAUUCCGCGUGUAGCAGUGAAAUGCGUAGAUAUGCGGAGGAACACCGAUGGCGAAGGCAAUCCCCUGGACCUGUACUGACGCUCAUGCACGAAAGCGUGGGGAGCAAACAGGAUUAGAUACCCUGGUAGUCCACGCCCUAAACGAUGUCAACUGGUUGUUGGACGGGCUUGGCUGUUCUAGUAACGAACGACGUAACGUCGUGAGUUAGUACCGCCGUCGGGGUAGGUACGGCCGGCCGAGGUUAGGUAACGUACGAAGGAAGUUAGUACGGCGUGAGACGUGCCGACGGACGACGACGAGGGAGGAGGG
rnacentral:rRNA from 1 species